AAGUAAUAUAAGCUGCCUUGGCAGGUGGUGGGUUCCUCAAUGGAGGGCUUCAAGCAAAGGCUGAAUGACCGCUCAGGCAUGUCACAGGCAACCGCUGGACAAGGUGGUCUCUGUGGACCCCUUCUCCUCUGUGGUUCUGUGAGCUUGGGGUUGUGAAUGCAAAGAAAUUGAAGACUGGAGUGGGAUUUGAACCCACAUUCAUUGGCCCCUGAACCAGUGUUCUUUGUAACGUGCUCAAAAUGGGAAAAAUAGAUUUUCAGAGAAAACCACAGCUGUCGUUGGCUCUAAAUGUGAAGAUAUUCUGAGAAGUCAUUAAAGUCCAGUGGCGGGACAAAAGUCAAGAUGACCAGGAUGCAGUGGAUGACUGUAGCAUCUUUGAUGUCUGACCAGACUCUAAGUGCUCCAAAAUGCUUCAACCACCUUCAUGGCGGUUGGAAUGAAAUGUUCUCCUCCAGUUCCACCAAGGGAGGUCUUCACAUGCAUAGGGUAGAUACCCUUCUACCUCACCUUCUAUCUUCAGGCCAAUAGGUUACUUUCAACUUGGUUUAGCCUGUCUGCCCAAGACAAUUUUACUAGAGUGUGGCUGCUGCACAUGCUAUAGCUUCUUGGAGUUGGAAGUGAGAGUCGAGGGCCAGGUGGACCCAAAAAUUGGCUGAGUAACCCUGAAAAGGCAGUCCUUCUUGACACCCUAAACUGCAAUGCUACAAACUUUGUCAAGGAGUGAUCUCAUUUCCUCAGCGACCAUAUUUGGGAGUUUCAUCAGAUGUGGGAAAGCCUUUAUGCAGCAGAGCAGUAAGUUGAGAUGGGUCAGAAGACAUGGGGCCACACUUAACCUCUGUGUAACAGUUAACUCAAUGGCUUGGAUGGCUCCCAGAAGCUUGUCAGAGAAGCCUGGGCCCCUGGGCAUGGCACUGGGGAGUGGAGCCUGUACACUCCCCUCCCCACCCUGCCUCCAGCCCAGAUAGUUGCCUCUUCCCUUCUUCCAGCAGAGCCUCCAGCUUACCUCUACCUAGUGACUUGGAAUCAAAUCCCACCUAGGACGGUUUCUGCUUGUAUCACCUUAGGCCAGUCACUUCACCUCCACAGCCAUCAGUUUCCUCCUCCGUAACAUGCAGGACAGGAGUUAGACUGAAUGGCCUCUGAGGUCCCAGACUUUUUACAGAUGAUAUUUAUCUUAUCAAACACUUAGCACAAUGCCUGCCACAUAAUAAGGGCUUAAUAAAUAUUUAUUGAAUUAGAAGGCCCCCAAUAAAUGCUAGUUUCCUCCCCCACCUUCCUUUUUCUUUCCAUUCUGUAUCUGUGAUCCAAGAAUUCAGUUAGCUCCUUCUCUGAAGUCAAGAUUGUGAAUGAAUGAAAGUGGUAUCAGGGGCAGAAAAAGGAGGAGACAUGACUGGAGUAGAGGUUACCAGGUAGAUAAAGAAU